rnacentral:lncRNA from 1 species
UACUUCGAAGGAUCAAUAAAUCUUCCCAAUAAGCCAAAAAAACUGUUGAUUGAUUCUUAAAAAAAGCACCCCCAAAAAGUAAAAAUUGAAAAUUAGGUAAUCAAGAGCACUGAUUAAUUGGAAUAUCUUAUAGUUACAUAUUUUAUGACAAAUAUAAAGUUAAUCAUUUUAUGAUAUUUUUUAAUCCAUGUCCUUAAAACAUUUAUAAUUCAAUUCAGUGAACAUUACAACCUGUAGAAGUCAAGGGAAGACAUCAUAAAAUACUAAAUUUACAAAGUUUAAUAUAACCUUAAUUUUUUAUCAAAUUAUUAAUAAAUAUAUAAUAUUACCUUAACAUACAAUAUAAUAUGUCUAUCCAAAAGUCUAACACAUUCUCAUGAAAUAUUAAAUCCUACUAUCCUACCAUUACAAUUGUAUCACUACCUUUCGGUAUAAAACCAUCAACUUAUUCCUCUAGUAUAUUAUAUAUAACCAUCCACCAUCAACAAAUCAAUGGUUGUCCUUCUGUGCAUGUCUAAUUAAGUUUUAUUUAUAAAAUACAGAAACACAUACCUUGCAAGCAUUGAUGCCACAAUCUUUGCAAGUCUGGGACUUGAUGCCCCAUAAUAUG